UGCAAUUAUUUGCAUUUGCGGAGAGGCUCAUCCUAAGAAAUAUUCCUAACAUUCGCUUGUCUUGUUUCUUGUCCACUUUUCUUAACCUAUGUUAUCCCGUCUACCCUUUGCCCUCUGUGUUUUUCCCGUUCUCUUGCUUCCUUAAACCUUACGCUUACCCCGUGGAUUGCCGCAUAGCUGGGUGGCUGGCCCUGAUGCCCUCCUCCUUCUCUCAGCUUUCUCCUUCUAUAUAUUCUCUCUCUGCCUGCCAGCCCCGCCUAUCCUUGCUCCUGCCUCGCUAUUGGCCGUUCAGAUCUUUAUCAGACCACCAGGUGUUCCAGACAGGUAAAGAAUCGCAGCUUCACAGAGUUAAACAAAUGCAACAUAAACAAAAAGUCCCACACCUUAAAACAAUAUUCCCAACAGAGGGAGGGGAAACUGCAGUCAAGGUAUAAUAUAUGAGGGACGAAGUGAAGAAGGAGGAGGAGGAGGAGAAAAAAAAGGAGGAAAAGGAGGAGGAGAAAAAGAAAUUGAGGCACACAUCCAAAAUUUCUAGGCCCUCAUAAUAACAGUUUCUGAAAUUUGAGCCUGACUCACCACAGUUCCAUUCAGAUAAGGAAGAGACAAAUAGGGGGUAGAAAUUUACAGGCAAAGAAAUCUUCCAUUUUGAACUCAAUGACUCUGAAGCGCUGGUAGCAUUGCAGAUAACGAGUCCCAAAGGGCUAUGGCGAUACGGAGUGGCACAAAGAAUCAUUGCAAGAGAGAGCAUUUCCCGAGAGGGCAAAGACCAAAUAAAGUGGAAGGCAAACCGAGAUCAUGUACAUUUAUAGUCCCUCAAAAGGAAAACAAUGAGAAAGAAUAACUCAGAGAAAGGGGGAAAGACCCGAAAGAGAGUUUUGUAUCAGCCUGCUUUUAUUGUUAUUAUAAUGAAAUCUCUGAGACAAGGUAACAUUAUAAGGAAAAGGAGGUUUCUUUAGUUCAUAGUUUUAGAGACCAAAAGACCAAAAAGGAGAUCAAAAAACUUCAGCGCAAAAAAACAAGCAUUUGGACGGUGGUGACCUCACAAAGCACUGCCCACACGGGCUGUGGCGAUCUCCAAAGCAUUGACUCAUGUGCAAAGCUGCCCUGGCCACAUGUGUGCAUUCAAGCUACAAAGGAAGGGAGCUUCCUGACAUCACCUGCUCUCUUGACAACGGGGAUGUGUCAAGCAUAUAUGCAUUGUAAAGGUAUUGACCUUGUUGUUUCCCAAGGGGCAGGCAUACACAGGCUAGCAGGAGAAACAAUUUUUUUUAGGGCUACCCAGCAAUCCUCCUCGAAACCUAGAACCCUGUUCGGGACAGAAUGGUAAUUUCUCCAGCAGUUUCCCAUUCCAGAAACAUCUCCUGUACACUUAUCCUUUCUCUCUUUGCUUCUUCUUGUUCAUCUCUUGCUAACAACUGGCUUUGUACGUCUUCUUUUUCAGACUCUACCGAAGUCACCAGCUGUUCCGCAGUUUCUGCGCUGUUGUCUCAUUCCAAGGUCCUUGGCUUCUACAUGAUGUCCCAUCGGUUUGCCUUUCUCUACUUCUCUGCGUCAAGUCCAAAAUCCUCAAGGACAGGGCCUUGAUUGCUCCAGUCUCUUUCCAAUGCCAUUCGGGGUUGCAAGUUUGACGAAGUGCAUGAACGCCGUCUCUGCCUUUCAGUCAGUUGUGGAUUCUAACCAGAUGUGACUAAGGCAUACGUGUUGCAUGUGUCCAAGACCAAGCAACCAAGCCUAGGGAAUUCUCAUAGCCCUGUUCUGCCCAAGGAGAGCAAGCACAUCUAGAAACUGCUUCAAGUUUUAGUGACUUUUCUACUACAAGCCCCAGACCGACUGGGGACCCGGGUCAAAGCUCCCUCCAUGUGUAUGGGUCCUUCCAGGAGGUUUUUCAUUUUUAUAUUAGUUCAGUGGAGCAGCAGUCACACUUCAAAGUGGCACUUGCUGGCUGCAGAGGAUUAAAAACCCAUGAUAAACAGAAAGCUCAGGCGCGCAGAGGAAUCCGUAAAUUAAAAGAUUCGCAAGUUGUUUCUCUGCAAGAUGCCUGACCCCAGCCAGGUAGUGCCUGCUCUUCAAUCUUCAUCCACCUGCACCACCUGCUUACUGAGUAUUGGUUUUGGUCGGAGCUGUUUACGAAGAUUGCUGAGACAGAGCCCCUCCCCUCGAGGAGCUGAUUCCCGAGAAAGAAGCCGGGCUUGUGUCUCAUCUUCCGCUGGACUGGUUCAAACCCUUAUUCCUCCUUCUCCUUAGUCCCUUGGAGGGAAAAACACUGCUUGUCCAUACACCCUUCCUUGCCUGUUUCUCUUCUAUGUUGUCAAGGGUUCCUAGACAUUCUAGCAAACUCUGGCAACAGAAACAUGUGGAAAGUGAAUGUGGCUGCCCGGUUGGUAGAGAUUCCAAAAGUGGGGGAAAUCGGGAGUGGGGAGGGAGGGGCCAUCAAGGCAUAAUUAGUUUGAAAUUUCAUAAGCUUUUAUUCACAGUUUAUACUUCACAGAUUCAUAGUUUUGUAGUAGAAGGGGAAGUAAAGAAAUUGUUAUAUAAACAUGGAAAAGAAAUAGUGAACUAUGAACAAAUGGAACUGGCAAAAUUGCCCACGAGCCAACUGGCAAGACUAUUUUGGUUUCAUACACAAACACACACACACACACACACACACACACACACACACAAACCCCACCAAAACCAGCUCAAAGGAAUCAUUGUAGAGCGAAGCAGGAACACACAGUCAUCUGAAAUAGGACCUUUUAUCAUUUACAUUGUCUUGUUUGUAUAGAUCCAAGGGGCCAUAUUCCUACUUCACUACAGAAAACCAAUUCACACUGUAGAGUUCGCCAGCCUUUUGGAAGCUGGGGUUGCAGAGGUGAGCCCUGGAAACGGAAUGGAGAGGGGCCAGCGGCUGAGACGUGAGAGCUUCCGGCAAUGCGGAAUGCGUACGUGUGAACUCCCCCACCAGUCGGAUCACUGGAUAACAUGACUGUCCCUCCCCCACCUCCCCCCCAGCCUCUUUGCCCACACGGAGUUCCAGUUUCUCACCGGGCUACUCACUGGGACGUCUCCCCGAAAGAAGGAAGUAGUCUACCAGUCCGGGCGGGAGGCUAGUUCCAUUACCACAUUCCUAAGAAGAUGAAAGUUCCCUUAAUCUCACGGACAGCACGCUGCACGACUCAGGGUUGACCGUCUAAGUCUUGGGUUUCAUUGUUUCCCUGUUGCCCUGGGCAUUUCAAAUCCAUUAUUAUCUAAGCGGCCUAACCUCGCUGGGGUAGACCUAGCAGGCAAUCCAGUCCUAGCAAGGAUCAGCCUCAUUCUUCUUGGUAAUUGCACCUGCUCCCUCAUCUGGACUAGAAAGGAAGGAAAAUGGGAUAUUAAGUGGCCCGGCCUUUUGUCUGAUGCCAGGAAAGCAGCAAGCGCUCCUGUUCCUGCCCUGUUGUGGUUCGUGUUGAAAGGUCUCCAAGUGUGCGGCCCUUGGAGGAAUUAGCUCCCAGCUCCCUCAAAGCAAAUAGGUCCGAAGUGGAGAGACAACAGCUGGGCAGUGGGGUCCUGCAACCCCUACAGCAGCACAGCAGGGAGGGGCAGACAGACAUCACCGUGUUUGAUGAAACGGAUAGGAGCCAGAACACAGCCACGACUUGAAGCAGACAGACUGCUGCUGGGUAGUGACGAGGAAGAAGUCCCGUCGUGCGAGUGGGCAUGGCUGGUGUCAUAACUUAGGACAGUGUGGGUCCCUUCAAAAGCAGAGCUUCUCAUUGUUGUUCGGAACAGAGGAGCUUGCCAGCCACAAAACCCAGGUACCUUUCGCUCUCCCAGUGAACGGUAACUCUGAGUACGGAGAGACGACCCUGCUUUCUCUUGAGAUUCUGGAGACGCCUCUCACCAAUAUUUUAAUCUGAGCUCCCACAGUGUCACAGUCUUUGACGAAUACUGUUCAUCUGUCCUCGGUUUUACGAGGCAAUCUUGAAAAGCAUCCAUCAAGGACCUGCUCCGACUCUCCAGUUUUUCUCAUUGCUGAGAGAGAAGAGAGGAAAGAACAAAUGGCCCCACCACGAAGCAGAUGCAUUAAAAGGAAGCAGAAACUGACCUUCAGAAAUGUUUUGAAUAGAAAUUCUUUGGAAAUGAAGACUACAAAUGAGGCCGGUUGCUACUAAGUCAAGAAAGCAAUUCUAUUCAUGGAAAACAAGAGUCAAAUACAUUCCCAGUCCCCUCCAUUCCUGCCUCCCACACAUCUCACGUGGUGCUUUGGAGUCCUUGUUGCACGAAGUGGAAACUCUUUUCAGCUCAGGUGUGUUCUUGUAUCUCAUGAGCUCUGUCAGGACAAGGAUGGGACACAUGCCUGGAACAUGAUACCACGCGACAUGUGGUAGCUAUCCGGUCUUUCCCCCCAUCUUAAUUAGUUAAAUAAUA